rnacentral:rRNA from 1 species
GACGAACGCUGGCGGCGUGCCUAAUACAUGCAAGUAGAACGCUGAAGAGAGGAGCUUGCUCUUCUUGGAUGAGUUGCGAACGGGUGAGUAACGCGUAGGUAACCUGCCUGGUAGCGGGGGAUAACUAUUGGAAACGAUAGCUAAUACCGCAUAAAAUUGAUUAUUGCAUGAUAAUUAAUUGAAAGAUGCAACUGCAUCACUACCAGAUGGACCUGCGUUGUAUUAGCUAGUUGGUGAGGUAACGGCUCACCAAGGCGACGAUACAUAGCCGACCUGAGAGGGUGAUCGGCCACACUGGGACUGAGACACGGCCCAGAAUCCUACGGGAGGCAGAAGUAGGGAAUCUUCGGCAAUGGGGGGAACCCUGACCGAGCAACGCCGCGUGAGUGAAGAAGGUUUUCGGAUCGUAAAGCUCUGUUGUAAGAGAAGAACGGGUGUGAGAGUGGAAAGUUCACACUGUGACGGUAUCUUACCAGAAAGGGACGGCUAACUACGUG